rnacentral:tRNA from 1 species
GGACGGCGUACCGGAGCCGGGCCGGCCGGCCCGGUCCCGUUGGGGCCGGGACGUGCAGGGCGACGUCGUCGAUCCGUUCCGCGUCGGCGGCCGUCGC